rnacentral:tRNA from 1 species
AGGGGAGUCGCUCAGCGGUCGAGAGCACCGGGCUUUGACCCCGGCAGGAGUAAUCCUUUCGUGUGUUCGAAUCACACCUCCCCUGCCA